GUAUGGCCGACAAAUGGUGGAAAGUAGGUGGGACUCUAUGUUUUCAGGUCAUUUAAGUAAUAAAAUGAGUCGUUUUUAGAAGAGUGACAGCACACCCGAGCCCGUGUCUCAGCGUCAAGAGUGAUUUUGCUGGACUUUUAAAGUUGACACUAUGCACAGCACUGUGAGCUCUGCCUUGGAAGUUCCGAGUAAAGGUUGUAUCACGAGCUUUCUGCAUGCCUGAACUGGAUGGGGGUGGAAUAUCUGCACUCAUGCAGAGGACACGGAAACUCUCACUCCCCAUGGGACAUUUCGACAGGCCUAUCUGGAGUCCACUGUUAGCAGUGGAGGAGCGACGUCCCUUCUUUGCCACAGCUACUUCUACCUCCUU